UUAUUAUUAAAUCAUUAGAUUAAAAUAUCCCAGUGAAAGGAACCUAAUAACAUUCAGAAUAGAAUUAUAAUUAUAAUGAGGCUGGUCAUCCAAUGGCUGAAAACAUUGACUACAAAAAUGUGUUGGAUAAUCCAGAACGUUGGAUAAGCGAGUGUUGGAUAAGUGAGACUCUACUGUAUUUCUUCAAAGUUUGCAUUGUUCUCGGUAAGGUCCCUUUUAUGUCCCAUUCUCUCUCCACCGACCCAUGACUAAACUGCUAUCCAUUUAUUUCAGUGCGUAAAGUGAUCCUAAUCUUGUUGUUGCGACUCUCAACAAGUGUGGUGCACGGGAAGAGAUAUCAUUGGAAGCAUUGAGAUUUUAUUUCUCCUGCUUUAUGUGGAUGGAUGUGUGUUCAUGAUCCUAAUCUUGUUGUUGCGACUCUCAACAAGUGUGGUGCACGGGAGGAGAUAUCGUUGAAAGCAUUGAGAUUUUAUUUCUUCUGCUUUAUGUGGAUGGAUAUGUGUUCAUGAUCCUAAUCUUGUUGUUGCGACUCUCAACAAGUGUGGUGCACGGGAAGAGAUAUCAUUGGAAGCAUUGAGAUUUUAUUUCUCCUGCUUUAUGUGGAUGGAUGUGUGUUCAUGAUCCUAAUCUUGUUGUUGCGACUCUCAACAAGUGUGGUGCACGGGAAGAGAUAUCAUUGGAAGCAUUGAGAUUUUAUUUCUCCUGCUUUAUGUGGAUGGAUGUGUGUUCAUGAUCCUAAUCUUGUUGUUGCGACUCUCAACAAGUGUGGUGCACGGGAGGAGAUAUCAUUGGAAGCAUUGAGAUUUUAUUUCUCCUACUUUAUGUGGAUGGAUGUGUGUUCAUGAUCCUAAUCUUGUUGUUGCGACUCUCAACAAGUGUGGUGCACGGGAGGAGAUAUCGUUGGAAGCAUUGAGAUUUUAUUUCUUCUGCUUUAUGUGGAUGGAUAUGUGUUCAUGAUCCUAAUCUUGUUGUUGCGACUCUCAACAAGUGUGGUGCACGGGAGGAGAUAUCAUUGGAAGCAUUGAGAUUUUAUUUCUUCUGCUUUAUGUGGAUGGAUGUGUGUUCAUGAUCCUAAUCUUGUUGUUGCGACUCUCAACAAGUGUGGUGCACGGGAGGAGAUAUCGUUGGAAGCAUUGAGAUUUUAUUUCUUCUGCUUUAUGUGGAUGGAUAUGUGUUCAUGAUCCUAAUCUUGUUGUUGCGACUCUCAACAAGUGUGGUGCACGGGAGGAGAUAUCAUUGGAAGCAUUGAGAUUUUAUUUCUCCUGCUUUAUGUGGAUGGAUAUGUGUUCAUGAUCCUAAUCUUGUUGUUGCGACUCUCAACAAGUGUGGUGCACGGGAGGAGAUAUCAUUGGAAGCAUUGAGAUUUUAUUUCUCCUGCUUUAUGUGGAUGGAUGUGUGUUCAUGAUCCUAAUCUUGUUGUUGCGACUCUCAACAAGUGUGGUGCACGGGAGGAGAUAUCAUUGGAAGCAUUGAGAUUUUAUUUCUCCUGCUUUAUGUGGAUGGAUGUGUGUUCAUGAUCCUAAUCUUGUUGUUGCGACUCUCAACAAGUGUGGUGCACGGGAGGAGAUAUCGUUGGAAGCAUUGAGAUUUUAUUUCUUCUGCUUUAUGUGGAUGGAUGUGUGUGCAUUUACGCAUAGCUGUACAUGCUCACAAAGCAUCCUGCUCUCGCUCGGCUCCCAGUGAGACAAAGCCCAGAGAAAGUGGAUCAAGGCAAACUUUGCUUCACAUCUUCCAGGCCUCGGAUGGGACUUGAAAGGCGCUGCCAGGAGCCACAGAUAGAAAAAGAAGUGAAAGAAAAGAGGAGGAGGGGAAAAAAGAGAGCAACAUCAGGCACGGAGCUCGGAGACGCACCGCCGCAGAAGGUCCUGCUUCAAGGGCCCGGGCUGUGGCGCAGGCGGGAGAGCAAGCCAGCUGCAAUUAACUGCAAUGAAUCACUCUAACCAGGAGGUCAUGAGUUCGAGGCCGCUCGGAGCCUAUGUUUGUUUGUCUUCGUUCUAUGUUGAAAGGCAUUGAAUGUUUGCCUAUAUGUGUAAUGUGAUCCGCCCUGAGUCCCCUUCGGGGUGAGAAAGAAGGGCGGAAUAUAAAUGCUGUAAAUAAAUAAAAUAAAUAGUAUAGACAUUUGUGUGUAUUUAUUAGACAUGUCCAAAAAAUCGUUUUGAAUCGUAUAUCGGAAUUAUUUCGGAUUGUUCUCGCUUUUUGAUACGCAUUCCGAGACAUUGUCUCACAGCGCAACCAGCAAUGUAAUUCGAACCAUUGUUGGCCCAUUCUCUAAUUGUCUCUUAAUGUUUCGUUAAUUCCCCCCCCCCCCCAAUUUUUAAAAAUAUAUUUUUUAAAAUAUUUUUUUAAUUUUUUUUUGUUUCUGCAACCUACCUAGAAUGGGAGCUUAGCGCAGCCUAACAUGGCUGCCGCUACCCGGCCAAUCAGAAGCUUCCACGAUGGACGCAAAGGUGGGGGCUAGGGUUGAUGAGGAUAGCUCAAGAAAUGAGGGCGGGAGAGCCCUGUAAAAGUCCCCCCCCCCGGUUCUUUUUUUUUGUUGGCGAUUGCGCAUGCGCGUCUGCCAUUUUAGAAACAUUUAGAAUCAUUACGAAUUUUUGGAAAUAUCUGAAAUUUUUAGGUGAAAAAAUCGGAAAUACUUUCUAUAUCGAAGCUCCAGUGCCCCCUACUUUAGAAACGAGAAUUGAAACAUUUUUUUCAUCGAUCGGACAUGCCUAGUAUUUAUCAUUAUCUUGCAGAUUCAAAGCCUGGCUCCUUCCUCCCUGGGGGCAUCCUUGGUUGGGAAGUGUUAGCUGGCCUUAUAAUAAUAAUAAUAAAACUUUAUUUAUACCCGCCACCAUCUCCGCGUGGGGACUCGGGGCGGCUUACAUGGGGCAGAGUGUGAUGCCUCAUGGGCCUUGUAGUCCUGUUCCUAGUGCCAUCGUGGCAGAUGAAGACGAAAACAUGGGGUUUUCGCUGGUUCAACAAGAGCCGGAAUCUUUUCACCUGCGGGAUGUUGAUGUUUGUACCCAAGAACUCAGUAAAACAGACCUUGGGCAUUCCUCGCCCCCGUUCCCUAGGAGACAGUCCUAUUCUGCAGACAGAGGAGUGAGGGAACAGAAUCGCAGGAGUUUACGGAUUGCAGCCAAACAACAGGCUGAUUAGACCUGCUUCCCUUGGGAAAUUCUAAGGAGUCUUGCAUCUGGACAAAGUUGGGUUUCGCUUCCCGUUCUCUAGGGAAAGAGGUUGUUGGCAGGAAAACGAGACCCCAAUAUAGGUGCCUGACGCGGGAGAAUCUUUGCGGAGUCAACAGAGCAGCUUCAGGAGUAAGAUCGUGUGUGGACUUCGCAACCCCAGUUCCUUGCUUCCCGGAUCAAGUAUUCAAGAUUUGCCUUGCCUUGUUUUAACCACGGAUCUUGUUCCAAGAAUCACUGUUUGCCUUGUUCCUAGUCACGGACCUUGUUAAAGAAUCAAGAUUGUAUCCAGCCUUGUUGUCAAGCUACCUUGGACUCCUAAGACUCUGGCAUUUCCCCCACACUAUUGCUUGGCAAUAGUGUGUGUUUCGGUUUUGGAUUAAAACUUUGAACUCUAAUAUCAUUUAUUGGACAAUACAUUUUUGGACUAUAUUUGACCUUAUUUGAAAGGUCUGCCUCUGAACUAUAUUCUUCACUUGUUUUUAUUGCUUUUAUAUAUUUACUUAAUAAAGAUAUUAGAUAGAGA